GGAGAGGUGGCCGAGUGGUUUAAGGCAGCGGUCUUGAAAACCGCCGAAGGUAACACUUCCGUGAGUUCGAAUCUCACCUUCUCCGCCA
rnacentral:tRNA from 1 species